rnacentral:rRNA from 1 species
UAGGGAAUCUUCGGCAAUGGGGGGAACCCUGACCGAGCAACGCCGCGUGAGUGAAGAAGGUUUUCGGAUCGUAAAGCUCUGUUGUUAAGGAAGAACGAGUGUGAGAAUGGAAAGUUCAUACUGUGACGGUACUUAACCAGAAAGGGACGGCUAACUACGUGCCAGCAGCCGCGGUAAUACGUAGGUCCCGAGCGUUGUCCGGGUUUAUUGGGCGUAAAGCGAGCGCAGGCGGUUAGAUAAGUCUGAUGUGAAAGCCCCCGGCUCAACCGGGGAGGGUCAUUGGAAACUGGUUGACUUGAGUGCAGAAGAGGAGAGUGGAAUUCCAUGUGUAGCGGUGAAAUGCGUAGAUAUAUGGAGGAACACCAGUGGCGAAGGCGACUCUCUGGUCUGUAACUGACGCUGAGGCUCGAAAGCGUGGGUAGCAAACAGG